rnacentral:rRNA from 1 species
CCUACGGGUGGCAGCAGUGAGGAAUAUUGGUCAAUGGACGAGAGUCUGAACCAGCCAAGUAGCGUGAAGGAUGACUGCCCUAUGGGUUGUAAACUUCUUUUAUAUGGGAAUAAAAUGUUCCACGUGUGGGAUUUUGUAUGUACCAUAUGAAUAAGGAUCGGCUAACUCCGUGCCAGCAGCCGCGGUACUACGGAGGAUCCGAGCGUUAUCCGGAUUUAUUGGGUUUAAAGGGAGCGUAGGUGGAUUGUUAAGUCAGUUGUGAAAGUUUGCGGCUCAACCGUAAAAUUGCAGUUGAAACUGGCAGUCUUGAGUACAGUAGAGGUGGGCGGAAUUCGUGGUGUAGCGGUGAAAUGCUUAGAUAUCACGAAGAACUCCGAUUGCGAAGGCAGUUCACUGGACUGCAACUGACACUGAGGCUCGAAAGUGUGGGUAUCAAACAGGAUUAGAUACCCGUGUAGUC